rnacentral:rRNA from 1 species
UACGUAGGGGGCAAGCGUUGUCCGGAAUCAUUGGGCGUAAAGAGCGUGUAGGCGGCCCGAUAAGUCCGCUGUGAAAGUCCAGGGCUCAACCCUGGAAUGCCGGUGGAUACUGUCGGGCUCGAAUCCGGAAGAGGUGAGUGGAAUUCCUGGUGUAGCGGUGAAAUGCGCAGAUAUCAGGAGGAACACCAAUGGCGAAGGCAGCUCACUGGGACGGUAUUGACGCUGAGACGCGAAAGCGUGGGGAGAAAACAGG